rnacentral:lncRNA from 1 species
AGCAUGCCAGGAUCUGCUCGGCCACGAGAAGGCUAGCAGAAUCCCAAGCUUUGAAGAAAUCAUCUAAGGCAUGCAAAGGCUCAUCAAAGUCUCAAAGCCUGUCUUAUGGCGAGACAGAAGCCAAGCAUGCCAGGAUCUGCUCAGCCACGAGAAGGCGAGCAGACUCCAAAGCAUUCGAAGAAAUUCCUGAGGCAUGCAAAGGCUCAUCAAGUCUCAAAGCCUGUUUUAUGGCGAGACAGAAGCCAAGCAUGCCAGGAUUUGCUCGGCCACGAGAAGGCUAGCAGAAUCCCAAGCUUUGAAGAAAUCAUAUAAGGCAUGCAAAGGCUCAUCAAAGUCUAAAAGCCUGUUUUAUGGCGAGACAGAAGCCAAGUGCGCCAGGAUCUGCUCGGCCACGAGAAGGCUAGCAGAAUCCCAAGCUUUGAAGAAAUCUUCUAAGGCAUGCAAAGGCUCAUCAAGUCUCAAAUCUUGUUUUAUGGCGAGACAGAAGCCAAGCAUGCCAGGAUCUGCUCGUCCACGAGAAGGCUAGCAGAAUCCCAAGCUUUGAAGAAAUCAUCUAAGGCAUGCAAAGGCUCAUCAAGUCUCAAAGCCUGUUUUAUGGCUAGACAGAAGGCAAGCAUGCCAGGAUCUGCUCGGCCACGAGAAGGAUAGCAGAAUCCCAAGCUUUGAAGAAAUCAUCUAAGGCAUUCAAAGGCUCAUCAAAGUCUCAAAGCAUGUCUUAUGGCGAGACAGAAGCCAAGCAUGCCAGGAUCUGCUCAGCCACGAGAAGGCGAGCAGCAUCCCAAUCCUUGAAGAAUCAACGGCAUGCAAAGGCUCAUCAAGUCUCAAAGCCUGUUUUAUGGCGAGACAGAAGCCAAGCAUGCCAGGAUCUGCUCGACUACGAGAAGGCGAGCAGACUCCAAAGCAUUCGAAGAAAUUCCUGAGGCAUGCAAAGGCUCAUCAAGUCUCAAAGCCUGUUUUAUGGCGAGACAGAAGCCAAGCAUGCCAGGAUCUGCUCGGCCACGAGAAGGCUAGCAGAAUCCCAAGCUUUGAAGAAAUCAUCUAAGGCAUGCAAAGGCUCAUCAAAGUCUAAAAGCCUGUCUUAUGGCGAGAAAGAAGCCAAGCAUGCCAGGAUCUGCUCAGCCACGAGAAGGCGAGCAGCAUCCCAAUCCUUGAAGAAUCAAAGGCAUGCAAAGGCUCAUCAAGUCUCAAAGCCUGUCUUAUGGCGAGACAGAAGCCAAGCAUGCCAGGAUCUGCUCAGCCACGAGAAGGCGAGCAGACUCCAAAGCAUUCGAAGAAAUUCCUGAGGCAUGCAAAGGCUCAUCACGUCUCAAAGCCUGUUUUAUGGCGAGACAGAAGCCAAGCAUGCCAGGAUUUGCUCGGCCACAAGAAGGCUAGCAGAAUCCCAAGCUUUGAAGAAAUCAUCUAAGGCAUGCAAAGGCUCAUCAAAGUCUCAAAGCAUGUUUUAUGGCGAGACAGAAGCCAAGCAUGCCAAGAUCUGCUCGGCCACGAGAAGGCUAGCAGAAUCCCAAGCUUUGAAGAAAUCAUCUAAGGCAUGCAAAGGCUCAGCAAGUCUCAAAGCCUGUUUUAUGGCGAGACAGAAGCCAAGCAUGCCAGGAUCUGCUCGGCCACGAGAAGGCUAGCAGAAUCCCAAGCUUUGAAGAAAUCAUCUAAGGCAUGCAAAGGCUCAUCAAGUCUCAAAGCCUAUUUUAUGGCUAGACAGAAGCCAAGCAUGCCAGGAUCUGCUCGGCCACGAGAAGGCUAGCAGAAUCCCAAGCUUUGAAGAAAUCACCCAAGGCAUGCAAAGGCUCAUCAAAGUCUCAAAGCCUGUCUUAUGGCGAGACAGAAGCCAAGCAUGCCAGGAUCUGCUCGGCCACGAGAAGGCUAGCAGAAUCCCAAGCUUUGAAGAAAUCAUCUAAGGCAUGCAAAGGCUCAUCAAGUCUCAAAGCCUGUUUUAUGGUGAGACAGAAGCCAAGCAUGCCAGGAUCUGCUCGGCCACGAGAAGGCUAGCAGAAUCCCAAGCUUUGAAGAAAUCAUCUAAGGCAUGCAAAGGCUCAUCAAGUCUCAAAGCCUGUUUUAUGGCUAGACAGAAGCCAAGCAUGCCAGGAUCUGCUCGGCCACGAGAAGGCUAGUAGAAUCCCAAGCUUUGAAGAAAUCACCCAAGGCAUGCAAAGGCUCAUCAAAGUCUCAAAGCCUGUCUUAUGGCGAGACAGAAGCCAAGCAUGCCAGGAUCUGCUCGGCCACGAGAAGGCUAGCAGAAUCCCAAGCUUUGAAGAAAUCAUCUAAGGCAUGCAAAGGCUCAUCAAAGUCUCAAAGCAUGUCUUAUGGCGAGACAGAAGCCAAGCAUGCCAGGAUCUGCUCAGCACGAGAAGGCGAGCAGCAUCCCAAUCCUUGAAGAAUCAACGGCAUGCAAAGGCUCAUCAAGUCUCAAAGCCUGUCUUAUGGCGAGACAGAAGCCAAGCAUGCCAGGAUCUGCUCGACUACGAGAAGGCGAGCAGACUCCAAAGCAUUCGAAGAAAUUCCUGAGGCAUGCAAAGGCUCAUCAAGUCUCAAAGCCUGUUUUAUGGCGAGACAGAAGCCAAGCAUGCCAGGAUCUGCUCGGCCACGAGAAGGCUAGCAGAAUCCCAAGUUUUGAAGAAAUCAUCUAAGGCAUGCAAAGUCUCAUCAAAGUCUCAAAGCCUGUCUUAUGGCGAGACAGAAGCCAAGCAUGCCAGGAUCUGCUCAGCCACGAGAAGGCGAGCAGCAUCCCAAUCCUUGAAGAAUCAAAGGCAUGCAAAGGCUCAUCAAGUCUCAAAGCCUGUCUUAUGGCGAGACAGAAGCCAAGCAUGCCAGGAUCUGCUCAGCCACGAGAAGGCAAGCAGACUCCAAAGCAUUCGAAGAAAUUCCUGAGGCAUGCAAAGGCUCAUCACGUCUCAAAGCCUGUUUUAUGGCGAGACAGAAGCCAAGCAUGCCAGGAUUUGCUCGGCCACAAGAAGGCUAGCAGAAUCCCAAGCUUUGAAGAAAUCAUCUAAGGCAUGCAAAGGCUCGAUAAAGUCUCAAAGCCUGUUUUAUGGCGAGACAGAAGCCAAGCAUGCCAGGAUCUGCUCGGCCACGAGAAGGCUAGCAGAAUCCCAAGCUUUGAAGAAAUCAUCUAAGGCAUGCAAAGGCUCAUCAAGUCUCAAAGCCUGUUUUAUGGCUAGACAGAAGCCAAGCGUGCCAGGAUCUGCUCGGCCACGAGAAGGCUAGCAGAAUCCCAAGCUUUGAAGAAAUCAUCUAAGGCAUGCAAAGGCUCAUCAAGUCUCAAAGCCUGUUUUAUGGCGAGACAGAAGCCAAGCAUGCCAGGAUUUGCUCGGCCACGAGAAGGCUAGCAGAAUCCCAAGCUUUGAAGAAAUCAUCUAAGGCAUGCAAAGGCUCGAUAAAGUCUCAAAGCCUGUCUUAUGGCGAGACAGAAGCCAAGCAUGCAAGGAUCUGCUCGGCCACGAGAAGGCUAGCAGAAUCCCAAGCUUUGAAGAAAUCAUCUAAGGCAUGCAAAGGCUCAUCAAGUCUCAAAGCCUGUUUUAUGGCGAGACAGAAGCCAAGCAUGCCAGGAUCUGCUCGGCCACGAGAAGGCUAGCAGAAUCCCAAGCUUUGAAGAAAUCAUCUAAGGCAUGCAAAGGCUCAUCAAGUCUCAAAGCCUGUUUUAUGGCUAGACAGAAGCCAAGCAUGCCAGGAUCUGCUCGGCCACGAGAAGGCUAGCAGAAUCCCAAGCUUUGAAGAAAUCACCCAAGGCAUGCAAAGGCUCAUCAAAGUCUCAAAGCCUGUUUUAUGGCGAGACAGAAGCCAAGCAUGCCAGGAUCUGCUCGGCCACGAGAAGGCUAGCAGAAUCCCAAGCUUUGAAGAAAUCACCCAAGGCAUGCAAAGGCUCAUCAAAGUCUCAAAGCCUGUCUUAUGGCGAGACAGAAGCCAAGCAUGCCAGGAUCUGCUCGGCCACGAGAAGGCUAGCAGAAUCCCAAGCUUUGAAGAAAUCAUCUAAGGCAUGCAAAGGCUCAUCAAGUCUCAAAGCCUGUUUUAUGGCGAGACAGAAGCCAAGCAUGCCAGGAUCUGCUCGGCCACGAGAAGGCUAGCAGAAUCCCAAGCUUUGAAGAAAUCAUCUAAGGCAUGCAAAGGCUCAUCAAGUCUCAAAGCCUGUUUUAUGGCUAGACAGAAGCCAAGCAUGCCAGGAUCUGCUCGGCCACGAGAAGGCUAGCAGAAUCCCAAGCUUUGAAGAAAUCACCCAAGGCAUGCAAAGGCUCAUCAAAGUCUCAAAGCCUGUCUUUAUGGCGAGACAGAAGCCAAGCAUGCCAGGAUCUGCUCGGCCCACGAGAAGGGCUAGCAGAAUCCCAAGCUUUUGAAGAAAUCAUCUAAGGGCAUGCAAAGGCUCAUCAAAGUCUCAAAGCCUGUCUUAUGGCGAGACAGAAGCCAAGCAUGCCAGGAUCUGCUCGGCCACGAGAAGGCUAGCAGAAUCCCAAGCUUUGAAGAAAUCAUCUAAGGCAUGCAAAGGCUCAUCAAAGUCUCAAAGCAUGUCUUAUGGCGAGACAGAAGCCAAGCAUGUCAGGAUCUGCUCAGCCACGAGAAGGCGAGCAGCAUCCCAAUCCUUGAAGAAUCAACGGCAUGCAAAGGCUCAUCAAGUCUCAAAGCCUGUCUUAUGGCGAGACAGAAGCCAAGCAUGCCAGGAUCUGCUCGACUACGAGAAGGCGAGCAGACUCCAAAGCAUUCGAAGAAAUUCCUGAGGCAUGCAAAGGCUCAUCAAGUCUCAAAGCCUGUUUUAUGGCGAGACAGAAGCCAAGCAUGCCAGGAUCUGCUCGGCCACGAGAAGGCUAGCAGAAUCCCAAGUUUUGAAGAAAUCAUCUAAGGCAUGCAAAGUCUCAUCAAAGUCUCAAAGCCUGUCUUAUGGCGAGACAGAAGCCAAGCAUGCCAGGAUCUGCUCAGCCACGAGAAGGCGAGCAGCAUCCCAAUCCUUGAAGAAUCAAAGGCAUGCAAAGGCUCAUCAAGUCUCAAAGCCUGUCUUAUGGCGAGACAGAAGCCAAGCAUGCCAGGAUCUGCUCAGCCACGAGAAGGCGAGCAGACUCCAAAGCAUUCGAAGAAAUUCCUGAGGCAUGCAAAGGCUCAUCACGUCUCAAAGCCUGUUUUAUGGCGAGACAGAAGCCAAGCAUGCCAGGAUUUGCUCGGCCACAAGAAGGCUAGCAGAAUCCCAAGCUUUGAAGAAAUCAUCUAAGGCAUGCAAAGGCUCAUCAAAGUCUCAAAGCAUGUUUUAUGGCGAGACAGAAGCCAAGCAUGCCAAGAUCUGCUCGGCCACGAGAAGGCUAGCAGAAUCCCAAGCUUUGAAGAAAUCAUCUAAGGCAUGCAAAGGCUCAGCAAGUCUCAAAGCCUGUUUUAUGGCGAGACAGAAGCCAAGCAUGCCAGGAUCUGCUCGGCCACGAGAAGGCUAGCAGAAUCCCAAGCUUUGAAGAAAUCAUCUAAGGCAUGCAAAGGCUCAUCAAGUCUCAAAGCCUAUUUUAUGGCUAGACAGAAGCCAAGCAUGCCAGGAUCUGCUCGGCCACGAGAAGGCUAGCAGAAUCCCAAGCUUUGAAGAAAUCACCCAAGGCAUGCAAAGGCUCAUCAAAGUCUCAAAGCCUGUCUUAUGGCGAGACAGAAGCCAAGCAUGCCAGGAUCUGCUCGGCCACGAGAAGGCUAGCAGAAUCCCAAGCUUUGAAGAAAUCAUCUAAGGCAUGCAAAGGCUCAUCAAAGUCUCAAAGCAUGUCUUAUGGCGAGACAGAAGCCAAGCAUGCCAGGAUCUGCUCAGCCACGAGAAGGCGAGCAGCAUCCCAAUCCUUGAAGAAUCAACGGCAUGCAAAGGCUCAUCAAGUCUCAAAGCCUGUCUUAUGGCGAGACAGAAGCCAAGCAUGCCAGGAUCUGCUCGACUACGAGAAGGCGAGCAGACUCCAAAGCAUUCGAAGAAAUUCCUGAGGCAUGCAAAGGCUCAUCAAGUCUCAAAGCCUGUUUUAUGGCGAGACAGAAGCCAAGCAUGCCAGGAUCUGCUCGGCCACGAGAAGGCUAGCAGAAUCCCAAGUUUUGAAGAAAUCAUCUAAGGCAUGCAAAGUCUCAUCAAAGUCUCAAAGCCUGUCUUAUGGCGAGACAGAAGCCAAGCAUGCCAGGAUCUGCUCAGCCACGAGAAGGCGAGCAGCAUCCCAAUCCUUGAAGAAUCAAAGGCAUGCAAAGGCUCAUCAAGUCUCAAAGCCUGUCUUAUGGCGAGACAGAAGCCAAGCAUGCCAGGAUCUGCUCAGCCACGAGAAGGCGAGCAGACUCCAAAGCAUUCGAAGAAAUUCCUGAGGCAUGCAAAGGCUCAUCACGUCUCAAAGCCUGUUUUAUGGCGAGACAGAAGCCAAGCAUGCCAGGAUUUGCUCGGCCACAAGAAGGCUAGCAGAAUCCCAAGCUUUGAAGAAAUCAUCUAAGGCAUGCAAAGGCCCAUCAAAGUCUCAAACCUGUUUUAUGGCGAGACAGAAGCCAAGCAUGCCAAGAUCUGCUCGGCCACGAGAAGGCUAGCAGAAUCCCAAGCUUUGAAGAAAUCAUCUAAGGCAUGCAAAGGCUCAGCAAGUCUCAAAGCCUGUUUUAUGGCGAGACAGAAGCCAAGCAUGCCAGGAUCUGCUCGGCCACGAGAAGGCUAGCAGAAUCCCAAGCUUUGACGAAAUCAUCUAAGGCAUGCAAAGGCUCAUCAAGUCUCAAAGCCUAUUUUAUGGCUAGACAGAAGCCAAGCAUGCCAGGAUCUGCUCGGCCACGAGAAGGCUAGCAGAAUCCCAAGCUUUGAAGAAAUCACCCAAGGCAUACAAAGGCUCAUCAAAGUCUCAAAGCCUGUCUUAUGGCGAGACAGAAGCCAAGCAUGCCAGGAUCUGCUCGGCCACGAGAAGGCUAGCAGAAUCCCAAGCUUUGAAGAAAUCACCCAAGGCAUGCAAAGGCUCAUCAAGUCUCAAAGCCUGUUUUAUGGCGAGACAGAAGCCAAGCAUGCCAGGAUCUGCUCGGCCACGAGAAGGCUAGCAGAAUCCCAAGCUUUGAAGAAAUCAUCUAAGCCAUGCAAAGGCUCAUCAAAGUCUCGAAGCCUGUCUUAUGGCGAGACAGAAACCAAGCAUGCCAGGAUCUGCUCAGCCACGAGAAGGCGAGCAGCAUCCCAAUCCUUGAAGAAUCAAAGGCAUGCAAAGGCUCAUCAAGUCUCAAAGCCUGUCUUAUGGCGAGACAGAAGCCAAGCAUGCCAGGAUCUGCUCAGCCACGAGAAGGCGAACAACAUCCCAAUCCUUGAAGAAUCAAAGGCAUGCAAAGGCUCAUCAAAGUCUCAAAGCCUGUCUUAUGGCGAGACAGAAGCCAAGCAUGCCAGGAUCUGCUCAGCCACGAGAAGGCGAGCAGCAUCCCAAUCCUUGAAGAAUCAAAGGCAUGCAAAGGCUCAUCAAGUCUCAAAGCCUGUCUUAUGGCGAGACAGAAGCCAAGCAUGCCAGGAUCUGCUCAGCCACGAGAAGGCGAGCAGACUCCAAAGCAUUCGAAGAAAUUCCUGAGGCAUGCAAAGGCUCAUCAAGUCUCAAAGCCUGUUUUAUGGCGAGACAGAAGCCAAGCAUGCCAGGAUUUGCUCGGCCACGAGAAGGCUAGCAGAAUCCCAAGCUUUGAAGAAAUCAUCUAAGGCAUGCAAAGGCUCGAUAAAGUCUCAAAGCCUGUCUUAUGGCGAGACAGAAGCCAAGCAUGCAAGGAUCUGCUCAGCCACGAGAAGGCGAGCAGCAUCCCAAUCCUUGAAGAAUCAAAGGCAUGCAAAGGCUCAUCAAGUCUCAAAGCCUGUCUUAUGGCGAGACAGAAGCCAAGCAUGCCAGGAUCUGCUCGACUACGAGAAGGCGAGCAGACUCCAAAGCAUUCGAAGAAAUUCAUGAGGCAUGCAAAGGCUCAUCAAGUCUCAAAGCCUGUUUUAUGGCGAGACAGAAGCCAAGCAUGCCAGGAUCUGCUCGGCCACGGGAAGGCUAGCAGAAUCCCAAGCUUUGAAGAAAUCAUCUAAGGCAUGCAAAGGCUCAUCAAGUCUCAAAGCCUAUUUUAUGGCUAGACAGAAGCCAAGCAUGCCAGGAUCUGCUCGGCCACGAGAAGGCUAGCAGAAUCCCAAGCUUUGAAGAAAUCACCCAAGGCAUGCAAAGGCUCAUCAAAGUCUCAAAGCCUGUCUUAUGGCGAGACAGAAGCCAAGCAUGCCAGGAUCUGCUCGGCCACGAGAAGGCUAGCAGAAUCCCAAGCUUUGAAGAAAUCAUCUAAGGCAUGCAAAGGCUCAUCAAAGUCUCAAAGCAUGUCUUAUGGCGAGACAGAAGCCAAGCAUGCCAGGAUCUGCUCAGCCACGAGAAGGCGAGCAGCAUCCCAAUCCUUGAAGAAUCAACGGCAUGCAAAGGCUCAUCAAGUCUCAAAGCCUGUCUUAUGGCGAGACAGAAGCCAAGCAUGCCAGGAUCUGCUCGACUACGAGAAGGCGAGCAGACUCCAAAGCAUUCGAAGAAAUUCAUGAGGCAUGCAAAGGCUCAUCAAGUCUCAAAGCCUGUUUUAUGGCGAGACAGAAGCCAAGCAUGCCAGGAUCUGCUCGGCCACGAGAAGGCUAGCAGAAUCCCAAGUUUUGAAGAAAUCAUCUAAGGCAUGCAAAGUCUCAUCAAAGUCUCAAAGCCUGUCUUAUGGCGAGACAGAAGCCAAGCAUGCCAGGAUCUGCUCAGCCACGAGAAGGCGAGCAGCAUCCCAAUCCUUGAAGAAUCAAAGGCAUGCAAAGGCUCAUCAAGUCUCAAAGCCUGUCUUAUGGCGAGACAGAAGCCAAGCAUGCCAGGAUCUGCUCAGCCACGAGAAGGCGAGCAGACUCCAAAGCAUUCGAAGAAAUUCCUGAGGCAUGCAAAGGCUCAUCACGUCUCAAAGCCUGUUUUAUGGCGAGACAGAAGCCAAGCAUGCCAGGAUUUGCUCGGCCACAAGAAGGCUAGCAGAAUCCCAAGCUUUGAAGAAAUCAUCUAAGGCAUGCAAAGGCCCAUCAAAGUCUCAAACCUGUUUUAUGGCGAGACAGAAGCCAAGCAUGCCAAGAUCUGCUCGGCCACGAGAAGGCUAGCAGAAUCCCAAGCUUUGAAGAAAUCAUCUAAGGCAUGCAAAGGCUCAGCAAGUCUCAAAGCCUGUUUUAUGGCGAGACAGAAGCCAAGCAUGCCAGGAUCUGCUCGGCCACGAGAAGGCUAGCAGAAUCCCAAGCUUUGACGAAAUCAUCUGAGGCAUGGAAAGGCUCAUCAAGUCUCACAGCCUAUUUUAUGGCUAGACAGAAGCCAAGCAUGCCAGGAUCUGCUCGGCCACGAGAAGGCUAGCAGAAUCCCAAGCUUUGAAGAAAUCAUCUAAGGCAUGCAAAGGCUCAUCAAAGUCUCAAAGCAUGUCUUAUGGCGAGACAGAAGCCAAGCAUGCCAGGAUCUGCUCAGCCACGAGAAGGCGAGCAGCAUCCCAAUCCUUGAAGAAUCAACGGCAUGCAAAGGCUCAUCAAGUCUCAAAGCCUGUCUUAUGGCGAGACAGAAGCCAAGCAUGCCAGGAUCUGCUCGACUACGAGAAGGCGAGCAGACUCCAAAGCAUUCGAAGAAAUUCAUGAGGCAUGCAAAGGCUCAUCAAGUCUCAAAGCCUGUUUUAUGGCGAGACAGAAGCCAAGCAUGCCAGGAUCUGCUCGGCCACGAGAAGGCUAGCAGAAUCCCAAGCUUUGAAGAAAUCAUCUAAGGCAUGCAAAGGCUCAUCAAGUCUCAAAGCCUAUUUUAUGGCUAGACAGAAGCCAAGCAUGCCAGGAUCUGCUCGGCCACGAGAAGGCUAGCAGAAUCCCAAGCUUUGAAGAAAUCACCCAAGGCAUGCAAAGGCUCAUCAAAGUCUCAAAGCCUGUCUUAUGGCGAGACAGAAGCCAAGCAUGCCAGGAUCUGCUCGGCCACGAGAAGGCUAGCAGAAUCCCAAGCUUUGAAGAAAUCAUCUAAGGCAUGCAAAGGCUCAUCAAAGUCUCAAAGCAUGUCUUAUGGCGAGACAGAAGCCAAGCAUGCCAGGAUCUGCUCAGCCACGAGAAGGCGAGCAGCAUCCCAAUCCUUGAAGAAUCAACGGCAUGCAAAGGCUCAUCAAGUCUCAAAGCCUGUCUUAUGGCGAGACAGAAGCCAAGCAUGCCAGGAUCUGCUCGACUACGAGAAGGCGAGCAGACUCCAAAGCAUUCGAAGAAAUUCAUGAGGCAUGCAAAGGCUCAUCAAGUCUCAAAGCCUGUUUUAUGGCGAGACAGAAGCCAAGCAUGCCAGGAUCUGCUCGGCCACAAGAAGGCUAGCAGAAUCCCAAGCUUUGAAGAAAUCAUCUAAGCCAUGCAAAGGCUCAUCAAAGUCUCAAAGCCUGUCUUAUGGCGAGACAGAAACCAAGCAUGCCAGGAUCUGCUCAGCCACGAGAAGGCGAGCAGCAUCCCAAUCCUUGAAGAAUCAAAGGCAUGCAAAGGCUCAUCAAGUCUCAAAGCCUGUCUUAUGGCGAGACAGAAGCCAAGCAUGCCAGGAUCUGCUCAGCCACGAGAAGGCGAACAACAUCCCAAUCCUUGAAGAAUCAAAGGCAAGUAAAGGCUCAUCAAAGUCUCAAAGCCUGUCUUAUGGCGAGACAGAAGCCAAGCAUGCCAGGAUCUGCUCGGCCACGAGAAGGCUAGCAGAAUCCCAAGAUUUGAAGAAAUCACGCAAGGCAUGCAAAGGCUCAUCAAAGUCUCAAAGCCUGUCUUAUGGCGAGACAGAAGCCAAGCAUGCCAGGAUCUGCUCGGCCACAAGAAGGCGAGCAGAAUCCCAAUCCUCGAAGAACCCAAGGCAUGCAAAGGCUCGGCAAAGUCUCAAAGCCUGUCUUAUGGCGAGACAGAAGCCAAGCAUGCCAGGUUCUGCUCGGCCACGAGAAGGCGAACAGAAUCCCAAGCAUUGAAGAAAUCACCCAAGGCAUGCAAAGGCUCAUCAAAGUCUCAAAGCCUGUCUUAUGGCGAGACAGAAGCCAAGUAUGCCAGGAUCUGCUCGGCCACGAGAAGGCGAGCGGAAUCCCAAUCCUCGAAGAACCCAAGGCAUGCAAAAGCUCGACAAAGUCUCAAAGCCUAUCUUAUGGCGAGACAGAAGCCAAGCAUGCCAGGAUCUGCUCGGCCACGAGAAGGCUAGCAGAAUCCCAAGCUUUGAAGAAAUCAUCUAAGGCAUGCAAAGGCUCAUCAAAGUCUCAAAGCAUGUCUUAUGGCGAGACUGAAGCCAAGCAUGCCAGGAUCUGCUCAGCCACGAGAAGGCGAGCAGCAUCCCAAUCCUUGAAGAAUCAACGGCAUGCAAAGGCUCAUCAAGUCUCAAAGCCUGUCUUAUGGCGAGACAGAAGCCAAGCAUGCCAGGAUCUGCUCGACUACGAGAAGGCGAGCAGACUCCAAAGCAUUCGAAGAAAUUCCUGAGGCAUGCAAAGGCUCAUCAAGUCUCAAAGCCUGUUUUAUGGCGAGACAGAAGCCAAGCAUGCCAGGAUCUGCUCGGCCACGAGAAGGCUAGCAGAAUCCCAAGCUUUGAAGAAAUCAUCUAAGCCAUGCAAAGGCUCAUCAAAGUCUCAAAGCCUGUCUUAUGGCGAGACAGAAACCAAGCAUGCCAGGAUCUGCUCAGCCACGAGAAGGCGAGCAGCAUCCCAAUCCUUGAAGAAUCAAAGGCAUGCAAAGGCUCAUCAAAGUCUCAAAGCCUGUCUUAUGGCGAGACAGAAGCCAAGCAUGCCAGGAUCUGCUCGACUACGAGAAGGCGAGCAGACUCCAAAGCAUUCGAAGAAAUUCCUGAGGCAUGCAAAGGCUCAUCAAGUCUCAAAGCCUGUUUUAUGGCGAGACAGAAGCCAAGCAUGCCAGGAUCUGCUCGGUCACGAGAAGGCGAGCAGACUCCCAAGCUUUGAAGAAAUCAUCUAAGCCAUGCAAAGGCUCAUCAAAGUCUCAAAGCCUGUCUUAUGGCGAGACAGAAGCCAAGCAUGCCAGGAUCUGCUCAGCCACGAGAAGGCGAGCAGCAUCCUAAUCCUUGAAGAAUCAAAGGCAUGCAAAGGCUCACAAAGUCUCAAAGCCUGUCUUAUGGCGAGACAGAAGCCAAGCAUGCCAGGAUCUGCUCGGCCACAAGAAGGCGAGCAGAAUCCCAAUCCUCGAAGAACCCAAGGCAUGCAAAGGCUCGGCAAAGUCUCAAAGCCUGUCUUAUGGCGAGACAGAAGCCAAGCAUGCCAGGAUCUGCUCGGUCACGAGAAGGCGAGCAGACUCCAAAGCAUUCGAAGAAAUUCCUGAGGCAUGCAAAGGUUCAUCAAGUCUCAAAGCCUGUUUUAUGGCGAGACAGAAGCCAAGCAUGCCAGGAUCUGCUCGGCCACGAGAAGGCUAGCAGAAUCCCAAGAUUUGAAGAAAUCAUCUAAGGCAUGCAAAGGCUCAUCAAAGUCUCAAAGCCUGUCUUAUGGCGAGACAGAAGCCAAGCAUGCAAGGAUCUGCUCAGCUACGAGAAGGCGAGCAGCAUCCCAAUCCUUGAAGAAUCAAAGGCAUGCAAAGGCUCAUCAAGUCUCAAAGCCUGUCUUAUGGCGAGACAGAAGCCAAGCAUGCCAGGAUCUGCUCGACCACGAGAAGGCGAGCAGACUCCAAAGCAUUCGAAGAAAUUCCUGAGGCAUGCAAAGGCUCACCAAGUCUCAAAGCCUGUCUUAUGGCGAGACAGAAGCCAAGCAUGCCAGGAUCUGCUCGGCCACGAGAAGGCGAGCAGAAUCCCAAUCCUCGAAGAAUCAAAGGCAUGCAAAGGCUCAACAAAGUCUCAAAGCCUGUCUUAUGGCGAGACAGAAGCCAAGCAUGCCAAGAUCUGCUCGGCCACGAGAAGGCGAGCAGAAUCCCAAUCCUCGAAGAACCCAAGGCAUGCAAAGGCUCGACAAAGUCUCAAAGCCUGUCUUAUGGCGAGACAGAAGCCAAGCAUGCCAGGAUCUGCUCGGCCACGAGAAGGCGAGCAGACUCCAAAGCAU